ACGACUAUAUUUUCGGGAGUAAGCAUGACUGUUAAUCAUGAUGUCGCUGGUUCAAGCCCAGCAGGGGGAGCCA
rnacentral:tRNA from 1 species